GAUUAACGCUGGCGGCAUGCCUAAUACAUGCAAGUCAAACGGGUUGGAACGCGCUUGCGCGUGAAGACCAGUGGCGAACGGGUGAGUAAUAUAUAGGUAACCUGCCCUUAAGACGAGGAUAACAGUUGGAAACGGCUGCUAACACUGGAUAGCACAUUUAGUCGCAUGACUUUAUGUCUAAAGGCGCCUUUAAAGCGCCGCUUAAGGAGGGGCCUAUAUCGCAUUAGCUAGUUGGUGAGGUAACGGCUCACCAAGGCGACGAUGCGUAACUGUGCUGAGAGGCAAAACAGUCACAUUGGAACUUAGACACGGUCCAG
rnacentral:rRNA from 1 species